rnacentral:rRNA from 1 species
UCGCCUGCAUGAAGUUGGAGUUGCUAGUAAUCGCGGAUCAGAAUGCCGCGGUGAAUGCGUUCCCGGGUCUUGUACACACCGCCCGUCACACCAUGGAAGUUGGGGGCGCCCGAAGUUGGUCAAGAAGAGAUUACCUAAGGCGAAACCAAUGACUGGGGUGAAGUCGUAACAAGGUACC